UAAAAAAUAAGCUAAUAAAGCUAUUAGGUUCAUACCCUAAUUAUAAAGGUUAUAACCCUUUUUUUUUAA
rnacentral:tRNA from 1 species